ACAAAUAGAAAAGUGUUAAAAUUGAGCCAUGAGCAGAGAUUUUUGUGGGUUCGCCAUGAGCACUCAGAAGUGAUAUGGUACUUCUUUCCUUUCAGUACCUUCUAGGUGACCAGUCUUUGGCUUUGACAGGCAAAAUGUGCAUCAGAUACCCUUCAGAGCUAAGGUAUUCCAAUGUGGCACAGAGAAGGAUAUCACUUGCUGAGUUAUGGAGGUUUCACCAUUGUGGUGGUAGUUUGUGUCUUGGACAUUUUAUCUGUGUGCAAUCAGAGAAAAAAAAAACUCUCUAAAUUGGACUGCAAGUCUACAUCUGCCAAGAACUUCUGCUCUUUUGUGAAUCCUGCUGCAAACGAUGACUCCUGUGGAUCAGAGUCUGGGGAACUGACAUUGGGGUGAGUUUUAUUGUUCUUCAGCCUCCUUUGCAUUACUGUACAACCAUGGCUGCUGUUGAUGGAACUCCAGCUCCAGCAUAUGUGUUUGCCUCAGCUGGAGCAGAGGAUGUGGCUCAUGGAAACUGCAGGUGGAUCUAUUUAUCCAGGCUAGCAAUGGCCUUCUAUAGUGUUGAGGAACAUAGUGAUUGAUGAUUCCCAGGCCAGCAAGCAACAACAGUUGCUAUGUGCUUAGACUGCUGACACCAUGCUAUAACCUGCAAAAUUCCUCUGCCUGAGUUGGCUUUUGUUCUCACUACCAUUUCAUGCAGAUACUCUGGCCAGGCUGUCUGUGCUUGACUGCAGGCCACAAGGAGCAGCGAGGGACAAUGGCACAAGUCUGGACAGAGUCAUAAUCCCACUACAGGCUGUCCUAGAGGUAACUUUCAUCUUCAUAACAUGAAUCUUAUUAUUUCAAAGAAGUUCAAGAUGAUACAAGCAUGUUUGUCAUGGAAUUUUGCUCCAUGUCAUGAAAAGAAAACUUUUUUUUUGUUCUGUGUGUGGAUAUUGA
rnacentral:lncRNA from 1 species